CCUACGGGAGGCAGCAGUGGGGAAUAUUGCACAAUGGGGGAAACCCUGAUGCAGCGACGCCGCGUGAGUGAAGAAGUAAUUCGUUACGUAAAGCUCUAUCAGCAGGGAAGAAAAUGACGGUAACUGAGAAAGAAGCCCCGGCUAACUACGUGCAAGCAGCAGCGGGAAUACGUAGGGGGCAAGCGUUAUCCGGAUUUACUGGGUGGAAAGGGAGGGUAGACGGUGCGCCAAGUAUGGAGUGAAAUGCCGCAGCGUAACUUCGGGAAUGCUUGGGAAACUGGCGAACUAGAGGGCGGGAGGGGUAAGCGGAAUUCCUAGUGUAGCGGUGAAAUGCGUAGAUAUUAGGAGGAACACCGGUGGCGAAGGCGGCUUACUGGACCGUAACUGACGUUGAGGCUCGAAAGCGUGGGGAGCAAACAGGAUUAGAUACCCGAGUAGUC
rnacentral:rRNA from 1 species